AACGCUGGCGGCGUGCCUAACACAUGCAAGUCAACUUGACUGAAGGAGCAAUCUGACAGUAGAGUGGCGCAAGGGUGCGUAACGCGUAAGUAACUUGCCCAAGGUAAGGAAUAACGUCGAGAAAUCGGCGCUAAUACCUCAUAAUGCAGCGGAUCCGCAUGGAUAUGUUGUUAAAGGUUUACCGCCUUGGGAUAGGCUUGCGUCUGAUUAGCUGGUUGGUGUGGUAACGGCACACCAAGGCUACGAUCAGUAACUGGGUCUGAGAGGAUGAUCAGUCACACUGGAACUGAGACACGGUCCAGACUCCUACGGGAGGCAGCAGUGAGGAAUAUUGGGCAAUGCUCGAAAGAGUGACCCAGCAACGCCGCGUGGAGGAUGAAGGUAUUCUAUAUCGUAAACUCCUGUGAGAGCAGACGAAAGACAGAUUAUUAAUCUGGAUGACUGUAUGCUCAGAGGAAGCCCCGGCUAACUACGUG
rnacentral:rRNA from 1 species